CGCAUAUUGCACCUUUGAGUAUUCUCUGAGGUAUACCUGUUUGAGCGUCGUUUAACACUAUAAAGCUUUGCUUUUUAUUAGAAUUUGGUUAGAAAUAUCCAAUUUCUUAAACAAAGUGGCGUCAUUUUUUUUGUCAAUACACAGUGAAAAUGUGUAGUUGUAAUAGAAAUGAUCAUUUUGCCUAUUUCAACUAAACUUGUUCGACCUCAAAUCAAGUAAGACUACCCGCUGAACUUAA
rnacentral:misc_RNA from 1 species